UACACCUACGGGGGGCAGCAGUGGGGAAUAUUGCACAAUGGGGGAAACCCUGAUGCAGCGACGCCGCGUGGGCGAGGAAGUACCUCGGUAUGUAAAGCCCUAUCAGCAGGGAAGAAACAGGACAGUACCUGACUAAGAAGCCCCGGCUAACUACGUGCCAGCAGCCGCGGUAAUACGUAGGGGGCAAGCGUUAUCCGGAUUUACUGGGUGUAAAGGGAGCGUAGGCGGCCAUGCAAGUCAGAAGUGAAAACCCGGGGCUCAACCCUGGGAGUGCUUUUGAAACUGUGCGGCUAGAGUGUCGGAGG
rnacentral:rRNA from 1 species